rnacentral:rRNA from 1 species
UACGAAGGGGGCUAGCGUUGUUCGGAAUUACUGGGCGUAAAGCGUGCGCAGGCGGCUUCUCAAGUCAGGGGUGAAAGCCCAGAGCUCAACUCUGGAAUUGCCUUUGAGACUGAGUGGCUUGAGUACGAGAGAGGUGAGUGGAAUUCCCAGUGUAAAGGUGAAAUUCGUAGAUAUUGGGAAGAACACCGGUGGCGAAGGCGGCUCACUGGCUCGUAACUGACGCUCAUGCACGACAGCGUGGGGAUCAAACAGG